UUCACUUUCACCCUCUAAUCUACAACUAGUGGAUACUUUGCAACUAGAAGACUGAACAUCUAGUUUCUAACUUCUAAGUGAUGAUUCGGAGUACAAGCUUGCAUUCAUCAUCAGGGCCAACUGUUUUAAACUUAAAGCCCCAAUAAAAAAGAAAAUCAUAGAAAGAUUUUCAAGGGUUAGCAGUUUGCUAAAAUACACGGAAACCAACUUGCGGAUUUGCGAGACUUCAUAUCAGCUUCAAGGGUUUGUCGUUUGCAAACUCUCUGUGUGUGAAAGUGCCGAAGCAGCCCAACCUGUGGAUUUGGCCGAGACUUCUGCAGUGGUAGACUAGUAAAGUAGUAGUUUUUUAGGGAUUAAUUUCGGAUUGGAGUAGCUUUUAGUGAUUAAGUUUGGAUUGGAGUGUGGUCUCAAGUUUGUGAAGAAGACGAUUGGAAUGAAAUUGGAGAAAGCGGUUAGUUUGCCUCUCUUAUGUGCCCAAAUUUUCCCCUUUUUUUAAAAUUAUUUCUUUAUUUUUAAAGAGAGGGCCGGUUGUGGGCUAGAGGCUCCAGCCCAUAAAAAAAUAUUGAAAUUGAUGAGAGUUUGACAGUUGGUCGUUUCCGAGGCCGUGAUCGACAAGUACAACCGAAUGUUUCCCGAUAUUUUCAUGCUAUGUAGCUAUUAUUUUGACACGUGC
rnacentral:lncRNA from 1 species